rnacentral:tRNA from 1 species
GGGAAUGUAGCUCAAUAGUAGAGCACUUGCCUCGCAUGUGUGGGGCUCUGGGUUUGAUCCCCAGCACUACAA